ensembl:lncRNA
AACAGACUUUGUUUCAAAGAUACAUUUUGUUUCGUUAAGUUGUAGGGCAGCGAGCGAAAACACAAAGAAACAGUUGAAACAUCCAGUUGAGAAAGUUUAUUCAGAAGUCAGUAGUGAAUUGGAAACAGUCAGCGUUAAAAUCCUAUACAAUGACGACAUAUGAUGAAGGUGGAGGGAGUUAGUUGUGUUCACUGCAAAGAAAACACAAACCUUACCCAGAAAAUCAACGAUAGGCAGAUUCUCACAUACCAAUUCUUUAUAGUCCCUGUCAUUUAAAAACUUUAAAAAACAUUUUUUUUUUUUUUUUGGGGGGUAUAAAUGCAAACCUGUUAAUCUAAUGCAAUGUUAAUACAAAAUAAAAGUCAUGAUAAAUUCCACAUAAAAAAAAAAUGAAAUGAAAAUAAAAUCCUAUAUACAAACCUCUGUACAAAGCGGGAAUAUGGAUAGAAAAAGAUAAACCACUGAAUAAAAAUGGAUGCUUUCUGUAACUAUGGAUACAAAAGAUAAACCACAGAAUAAAAAGCAUGUUUUCUGUUACUAUGUGCUCCCAGCUCCUAAGAGCAGAUGGGAGGGGUCAGAAUGUUGGUCGUCACUCACCAGCCUGUCUAUUGGUCAAAGACAGAACCAGAGAACGCUUCAUUCACCUGGUUCUGAUUCUAUAUUCAUUUCACUCAUUCUAAAGAUUCUAUAGGUUCUAUCUCAUAGCAUUACAAAGGCCUGAACUAAGUGGCAUCACGUGGAGAAUGGAGUCCUAGAUGGUAGAUAGCAUCAAUACAUUCAGUGACCAGUAAUCAUGUGAAACUGAUUCACCUAUCUAACCUAUGGUAAAGUAGACCGCAUCAUCACACUUCAGGCAAAAAUUGAAAAGGAUCAAUGAGGCUCUGCCACAAAAUGGCACCCUAUUCCCUACGUAGUGCACUACUUUUAACCAGAGCCCUAUCGGCCGUGGUCAAAAGUAGUGCACUAUAUGGGGAAUAGGGUGCUGUUUGGCACACAUCCUAGAUGAAUGGCUCAAUAAGGAGUGUUGCCUGAGUGAGAUACUCUUCUUCCACUCCUGGUCAGACUGCGGCUGUUUCCCCAAAUGGCACCCUGUUCACUAUAUAGUGCCCUACGUUUGAUCAGAACCCGAUGGUGAAAAGUAGUCCACUAUUGGAAAUAGGUCGCCAUUUUGUUAACGCAGCCUUGUGUUGAGCGGGGAUGAGGGGGGGGAUUGCAGAGGGAAAGAACAUUGUGUGUUUUAAAUCGGGUGUCUUAAUGUUAUUGUUUAUUGUACAAUUCCUGAAUCGAUGGAGGCUUGUUUCCUGGUGGUCUUAGGGGGAGGGGGAGGAGGGGUCUUGCUGGGAAGAGGAGGUGGCAAAUGCUAUUAAAAAAAGAAAAGAGAGAAUACAGAAAUAUUAAGCCACGUUUAUAAGACAUUAUAAAGGUUUAUACAUCCUUAUAACACCUUGUGAAGCUUUAAACUCGGCUUAUACAUCCUUAUAACACCUUGUGAAGCUUUCAACUCGGCUUAUACAUCCUUAUAACACCUUGUGAAGC